rnacentral:misc_RNA from 1 species
GAGAAAGAAGCACACUGCAUAUUCUGGUGAAGGGCAGAUCAUGAGCUUUCACUCAAAAAGGGAUACAAACUAUAGGAAUCACUAUGUCCAAGAAAGCUCAUGUCAUUGUUACUAGGGAAAUCCAAAAGAAGUUGCAAUGCUGAUUCAGAUGAAUCUUCCAUGGCGUUGGAGCUAGACGUGUCUGAUCCUUGCAAGAAAUCUUCUGUGUAUGGUUGGCCAAUUUUCCACUCUUUAUAUUCAUGUUGGUUGCUUCCUGUCACUGGUGAACCAGCAACACCGAGUUCAAACUCAGUCGUAAUGCCUGAAGCUGAUCCAUACUUUGUACAUGUGGAUGCUUGAGAGGUUGGACUUUGACAAGCAUUUUUUUCUCCUUUCUUGAAUUUCCUAAAUGACUCACCUAUCUCUGAGUUCCAUAUGCGCAGAAAAUAGUCAGUCUCAGACCUUCCAACUGAUGAUGGAACCAAGAAUUGUGACUCUCUGGAAAGACGAGCCUCAGCUUCGAGCCUAGCACUUUCCCAUUGAGCCAAGUGACGCGCAGAAGGUGAGGUAGCUGGUCUUCUCAGCAGUCCAUUGGGGUCAGAGUACUGUUCAUGAGUCUGAGGAUCAAUGCCCAUGGAAAGCAGGCGCUUCUUCAGGUGAGUAUUCCACAGAUUCUUUAUCUCAUUGUCUGUCCUCCCAGGUAAUUGUGAAGCAAUUGCAGCCCAUCU